GGCACCACAAACAAGAGAAAGGAAAGGAAGUGCUGCCAGGAUGUUUCCCACUGCUAAACUGAAGAAAGUAGAAGCUGCCUUCUGAGAGAUCUAAGGGACAUUUGGGUCAAGGACAUAGGGGAGGAAACCAGCAGUCACACUUUUAUCCACACUGAGGAUGAAAGCUCCAUAUUCUCUAUAUGUGAUAUUUUUUCAUGCCUAAAGGAAGCUUGUUUGCAACAUUGCAUUUAUAGAAUAAGCAGAAAGUCAUCAAACACAAAUGCAAUGGCACAAACAAUCAAGCGAUGGGAACAAGUAUCCUACCAUGCUAUGUGCAGCUUUUAGGUAGAGUCCACUGAUGCUGAGUGAGGAUAAAAAAUAUUGUGCUCUGUGUGUGGAGUUAUGUCAGGCAAAAAGAGCAUCUGAGUAGUUAGAGGAAACGGAGGGAGUAUGGGUUUGACCUGGAUCCUGAAGUAUAAGUGCAAAUCAGUGUUAGCAAAGUUGAUUGCUGCCAUAGACUAUUUAUCUCAUGUGCCUGAUUCUCCACUCUUUCAUCACAGCAGUCCUUAGAGCCAUUGCUGGGAAAGGAAAUGUUUGAGAUCAAGGAGCACAAUAUUUUGGCAAAUAUAUUCAUGAACCCUAAUUUAAUCCUUUGCUGAGAAAUGUAUGAUUCUGCACUGUGAACACAGACUUUUUUUUUUUUUAAGAGAAAGCUUUAACUGGCAUUCUAUUGCAUCCAUUAUGUAGUGGCCCACAUCUUUAUUUGAUGAUCAGACAAUACAUACUGAGGUUGCAGCUAGUGCCUCUUACUAGGCCUUUGUAAUAGCUUUGGUAUGUUGCCUAUAAAGACAUAAAGCAUGCCAUCUCUGUAUCUCUUCCACUAAAUUUGUGUUGCUCCAUUGGUUGUGCUUUUUUUUUUUUUUUUGAAAUCUUUCGAGUAGCUGAGUAUUUCCCACUUAUAUUUUUUCCUAUUUCCACAGCUUUUAUGUGUUUUUAUGAAAGAAAUAGGAGCUCUUGGUGAGGAGAAAAAAAUAAAAAUAAAAAAUGCCAUAAUUCCCA
rnacentral:lncRNA from 1 species